rnacentral:rRNA from 1 species
CAGGACGAACGCUGGCGGCGUGCUUAACACAUGCAAGUCGAGCGAUGAAGCUUCUUCGGAAGUGGAUUAGCGGCGGACGGGUGAGUAACACGUGGGUAACCUGCCUCAUAGAGGGGAAUAGCCUUCCGAAAGGAAGAUUAAUACCGCAUAAGAUUGUAAUAUCGCAUGAUAUAGCAAUUAAAGGAGUAAUCCGCUAUGAGAUGGACCCGCGUCGCAUUAGCUAGUUGGUGAGGUAACGGCUCACCAAGGCGACGAUGCGUAGCCGACCUGAGAGGGUGAUCGGCCACAUUGGGACUGAGACACGGCCCAGACUCCUACGGGAGGCAGCAGUGGGGAAUAUUGCACAAUGGGGGAAACCCUGAUGCAGCCAACGCCGCGUGAGUGAUGACGGUCUUCGGAUUGUAAAGCUCUGUCUUCAGGGACGAUAAUGACGGUACCUGAGGAGGAAGCCACGGCUAACUACGUGCCAGCAGCGGC